rnacentral:rRNA from 1 species
UAGUCCACGCCGUAAACGAUGUCAACUAGUCGUUGGAUCCUUCGGGAUUUAGUGACGCAGCUAACGCGUGAAGUUGACCGCUUGGGGAGUACGGCCGCAAGGUUAAAACUCAAAUGAAUUGACGGGGCCCGCACAAGCGGUGGAGCAUGUGGUUUAAUUCGAUGCAACGCGAAGAACCUUACCUACCCUUGACAUCAUCAGAACUUGUUAGAGAUAACUCGGUGCCUUCGGGAACUGGUUGACAGGUGCUGCAUGGCUGUCGUCAGUUCGUGCCGUGAGGUGUUGGGUUAAGUCCCGCAACGAACGCAACCCCUAUUAACUGUUGCCAGCAUUUCGGAUGGGGACUCAGUUAAGACUGCCUACGCAAGUAGAGAGGAAGGAGGGGACGACGUCAGGGUCAUCAUGGCCCUUACGCCUAGGGGCGACACACGUGCUACAAUGGGUAGAUACAGAGUGUAGCGAACU